rnacentral:rRNA from 1 species
UACGGGGGGAGCAAGCGUUGUUCGGAUUUACUGGGCGUAAAGGGCGCGUAGGCGGUCAGCACAAGUCAGUUGUGAAAUCUCCGGGCUUAACCCGGAAAGGUCAACUGAUACUGUGCGACUAGAGUGCGGAAGGGGCAACUGGAAUUCUCGGUGUAGCGGUGAAAUGCGUAGAUAUGCGGAGGAACACCGAUGGCGAAGGCAAUCCCCUGGGCCUGCACUGACGCUCAUGCACGAAAGCGUGGGGAGCAAACAGG